UCCUCUGUCGUCGUCACGUCCUCUUGGAGUUGGAGCCAUCUUACAGAGACCCACCUCCACAACAUGAGGGCAAAGUGGAGAAAGAAGCGCAUGCGUAGGCUUAAACGGAAGAGAA